rnacentral:rRNA from 1 species
UACGAAGGGGCUAGGCGUUGCUCGGAAUCACUGGGCGUAAAGCGCACGUAGGCGGAUUGCUAAGUCAGGGGUGAAAUCCUGGGAAGCUCAACUCCAGAACUGCCCUUGAUACUGGCCGGUCUAGAGUCCGGAAGAGGAGAGUGGAAUUCCUGGUGUAGCGGUGAAAUGCGCAGAUAUCAGGAAGAACACCCGUGGCUAAGGCGGCUCCUCUAGUAACGGUACUGACGCUGAGACGCGAAAGCGUGGGGAGCGAACAGG